GAAGGAUAAGGGGCAGUCGGUUCUGAUCGUCUUGGGCCGGAUCGAGAGAGGGCGAGGGACAGAGGGAUGAGAGAGAGGAGGAAGAUGGCGGCGGGAGGGGGCGAAGGAGAGCACCGACGGCCGGAGAACGGGGCGAUGGGCCAUAUCAGGCGGCGGCUCGGCCAGGGAAGAAGCUCGGCGACAUGGCCCAGGUAUGUGGGGUUCGGAGCUAGGGUUAGGGGCUCGGUUGGAGAGGGAGAAGGAAGGAAGGGCGGAAGAGGAGGCGCUCACCGGUGGGGGAAGGCGCGGCAGUCGGCGCUAGGGAAGGUGACUGGGGCGGCGGCUGCCAGAUUUGGUGAAGCAAGGGGAGGAAGAAGAGGAGGAGGUGGUGGUGAGAGAGAGAGGGCUGCUGGCUUUUAUAGGCGGAGGAGGAGCGCGGCGAGGACACUGGCGGUAUGGGCGCGGCAUGGAGCUGAUGGUGGCGACGGUGUGACCGCAGUGCACGGCGAGGACGCUGGGGGCGCUUGUGCGAUGCAACGGGUACUGUACAGGCAUUCGCGGCGGUACUGUGCGCGAGCAGGGCGACGCGACGGAGAGCGACGGAGAGGGCAGCGAGACGUGGGAGAGAGAAAGGGGAACAGUUGGGGAGAGAGGAGAAUUUUUUUUCUUGUCUUUUUUUGUUUCGUGAAUUCAUGGUGUGACACAGUUAGACAGGUUGUCUAGCUAGGUUUGUUGCUUGCUUUUCUUACUUUUGCUUUCCAAUACUAUGCUCUUCUUCAAAAUUACGUGUCAAUGCUUUCUCUUUUCACUACUUUUUAUGGAAUUACUUUUCCUGGUUUUACACACACAAACCAAACUUGAUGUCAUACAUGGAACAAGCCUGCUCAUGGUAACACACCUUAGGAAACUGCAAAUACAGAACCCUUACCUGGAAGUAACAUAAUCCUUGGGAUACUCUUACCAUAAUAUUAAUACAAUGUCGUGGAGGAGAGUCAUGUACAUGUUUGCUCUUUGUCCAAUAUUAAACUGAGAUGUUCUUCAAUUCACUUUAAUGACAAUGAUCCUCUACCUGAGAUUGCACGAUAUAUGCGUCAAAAGAGUCUUAAAUGCUAGGGAAAAAUACCUACAUACCACUAUUUCACAACCAGUUUGUUUUAGCACUACUUAGUUACUGCAAGCUGCUCCGUCUAGCACUACACCGUCAGAUCGUAAACUAACGGCCUAAAUCAGUCUUGAUGAUCUCCCACCGUUAAAGCCGUUAGGCCUGCCUCAUCCUCUUCUUCCCCCCAAAGGUCGCCACAGCACCCUCCUCUGACUGUGAAGGCGACCAACCCGUGGCCUUCCGUUCAAUUUCGCUGCACUACCUCUAGCGCGGAGCCCCUGCACAAGGUCCUGCACGUGGCUCCCGUCCCAUUAGCACCACAAGAGCUGCGGAGGUGGUCGGGCAUCGAGGCGGGACAUUUGCUGCGUUCUGGGACUUCCUCUCCAGCACCCAGAUCUGGCCGUGCUGACUGACCCCAUCCGCACCUCGAGGCUCCGUUGUUGCAUAGCUCCGCUGCAGAGUCGCGCCUCCGUGCCACGUACACACAAGGCCCGGGUGUGUGGGACAUCUUUGUGCAACCCCACCCAGCCUGGGAUGGUCCAUGUCCGAGAGGUACUGGAGCAUGACCAGUGGGUCUAUGUUGGAUGGGUUGUUUGUUUCGUUCCAUUGAAGCAUGCCCCGCUGCAUUUCUUUCCCGUCGAUAAGAUCUCCAAUCGUUUCCUGUCAUGAUCCAUAAUUUUUUCACGAAGAAAUUUUCAUCCUUUUUAGCGCUUCAACGAUUUUCCUUUAUGGUUCCUGUUACAAAGGAAUUCUCAAAGUCAUUCCAUUCAGGACGAGAUUCUAUCGUUUUUCCCUUCACGAAUCCCUUUGAAGGGAAACUGUUGAAAAUGAGAUAAAAUAAAGAGAAUGGGAACGAGAAAAAAAAUCGGGAAAGGAACGAAAUGAAAAUAAUAUGGUUGAAGAUGGUCUAAGGAAGAUCAUUGCUUGCUUUGGAUUGGAUGGUUUUUAUCGGUGUCGGUUCUUAACUUCUAAGUGGUUGAUCACACGCAAGAGUUUAAGAACCUGCACUGAUACGUCAACAGUACCGGUUACUGUUAAACCGGUACUGAUGUACCGGUUCCAACAACGAACCAGUACUGAUAGUGUUUGUCAGUGCUGGUUUCAUAUACCAACUAGCACUGAUGGGUCACUACAAUAUAAAGUUCCACUUUCUUCCACAAGCGUGACCUGCGCGAUCAGAGCUGCCGCAAGCCCACCAGAACAAUGCCGAUCUUGCAAUGAUUCUUUCAUUAUUGAUGAGAAUAAUAAAUUAAAAUAAUUGAAAAAGUAAUCAAGGAUCUAGCAAGAUGCUAUAUUGAAGAAUCCAAAAUUAGACAAAUUUUGGAUAGUCAAAGGUUUUGCAUAAAAAAAAAGGUUUUGGGUAUAUUCCUAAGAAGGGUAAUAAAGCAUUCAUACAUCCAAACCACUUUUACGAAGGAUAGCGGUUAUUGCAUAAAAUGUAAGAAAGCUAGGCAUGUUGAAAACAAUUACAAAAAUAUCAAGGAUAAUUUAUAUGCAUAUUUUGUUUCAUACUAUGUUUUUAAGAGAUGUUCAAAUGGUAGUGUUAAAGUUAAAUUUGUUAGCACUUCUAUAAUUAAUGCAAAAAAGAAUAUCAUUUGAGUGUCUAAAGGUUUGAUAACUAACAUCUAAGGAUAUUUGUUUGGGUAUUUAAAAGAAUUUAACUUUGUUUUGUAGGUAAACUACAAGUCUAGUGAGGGUAUUAGGUGCUAGAUAGUGAGUGCAGUCAACAUAUGUCCGGAAAUCAAAUGAUGUUUAUAUAUAUGAGCAAUGUUAGAUCGGAAUAUAACAAAAUCAUUUUUGGAGAUAAUAACAAAUAAAAGGUAAAAGGUUUAGGUAAAAUUACUAUCUCAAAUGAUUUAUCUAUUUCAAAUGUUGUACUAGUUAAAUCUCUAAAUUUUAAUUUAUUUUCUGUUACUCAAUUAUGUGAUCUUGAUCUUUCAUGUAUAUUCUCUUUAAAUGAUAUGAUAAUAUCUAGCAUGAAGGAUAAAAGUAUAGUUUUUAAAUGCUUUAGACAUGAAAAUCUUUAUCUAAUUGAUUUCUCUUCUAAUGAUGCAAGCCUAAGCACAUGUUUGUUUACAAAGUUAUCAAAAUGUUGUCUUUUUCAGAGAAUGCUCGGUCAUAUUGGUAUGAAUCAACUAAAUCAUUUAUUGAAGCAUGAUCUAGUAGUAGGGUUAAAGGAUGUAGAAUUUGGAAAAAAAAAAGCUAUAUAGCGCUUGUCAAGUCAGAAAGCAAGUAGAGAAUUCACAUCUGUAUGGAAGCUCAAUGUCAACAUCAAGACCAUUCGAAGUAUUACAUAUAUAUUUACUUUGUCCAGCCACAUAUGUAAGAUUGAAGGGGCUAAAAAUGAAUUUGAGUUCGAAGUCAAGAAAGUAAGAAGUGAUCAUAGUUUUGAAUUCAAGAACACAAAUGUUGAAGAUUUUUGUGAAGAAAAGGGAAUCAAGUAUGAAUUCUCAGUCAAAUACACUUCGAAGAAAAAUAGAGUAGUUGAAAGAAAGAAUCAGACUCUAAUUGAUAUGAUAAGAUCAUGCUUUUGGAAUAUAAUAUUUUGGAUAAUUUUUGGGUCGACUUUCUUCAAAUCGAUUAUAUUGUUACCAAUUGUUGAAGAUGACUCUAUAUGAGCUUAUUGAGAGGAAACCGAACAUCUUAUUUGUGGCAUUUGGAUGUAAAUACUACAUUUAAAAAAGUGGAAGUCAAAGUGGACUUGAAUGAAAAUUGAUUAGGAGGUUGGCUAGCUGCACUAAGCCAAAGAGGAGAUUGGUGGAGUCAGACUGCGAUGAUGAUCCUCAGGACUUUGAGUGGAUUCCUCCUUAGGGCAACGUCGGUGUGGAGUCCUCAUCUUUUGCUAGAAAUGUCAGUGAUCAUAAUAUGCAUGAUGCUAGUGAUGAUGAUGAAUAAAUCAAUCAUCAAGCUUAUAGAGGUUAUAUAAAAUCUUGGACCUAAGUAUACUAGAGCUAAAAGUGUCUAUGAAUAUGCUCUAGAUAAUGAUGUCACUAACUCUCAAUUCUAUACUAGGGUACAAUAAGAUGUUAUUUAUGGUCACGUUCUGAAAAAAGACCAUCUAUAAGCAAAAAUGGAUUGAUGGGAACUAUGUGAGAGGAUAGUGUAACAUUAAUGGUCUUGCUGAAAACUUUCAAGAAUUAGGUCUUUAUGAACUUAAGAAUUUCGAGUGUGAUUGAAAUGCUAUUAUCAUGAGACAAUUCUAUGAAAUUGUUGAAAUUGCACAUAAGAGUCAGAAGAUUGAAUGGAUGAUCGGAUCCCAAAAAUAUGAGGCUACAUUUAGGGAGUAUGCAACUGAUGUGCGAAUUUCCUAUGCUGUUGUAUAUGGAUCCAUUAAUGUGUUUGAGGACCCUCCUUGACCGAGGAUGUAUAGAGCACUUACUGUGAGCCACUGGGUGUAGUUUCAAUAGUCACCAUUAGAACAGUUACAUAUUUAAAGGUGUUACCUGCAACUAUCAACAAGAUCGAAGGUCAAAGAGUGAAGGUGAUAUGCCCUAGAGGCAAUCAUAAAGAUGAUUAUAUUACACGUUUAUGUUACUGUACUUUUGAAUAAUAUGUUAUUCCAAAAAUAACUACAUUUUACAUUGAUUGGCAAGUAUGUGGUUUGUUCAUGAAACUCUUUGUUUAUAUCAUGAUGUUAUUCUUAGUCGAUCCCUAAUCGUAUAUUAUUGUGAUGAUACAUAAGACCAGCACAUGUAUUGAUUGAUGAUCAUAUUUAAUGGAUCAUAUGUAUAGAGAUACCAAGUCAAUAAUGUGGAUAUUUAUGUUAGAGAAUAUGAUGUUGGAUAGACCUACCUUGAGAUACUACUGAGAUUGUUAUUUAUGAUGUCCUAUCAGUUGUUAUCUCAAAUAGUGUACCUACAGGAUCCUUAAACCUAAGAUCAUCAUUGAUUCUCAGAAUAUGUAGUAGCAUAUUUUGAUGCGGCCAAACGUUAUUCCGUAACUGAGUAGUCAUAAAGGUAGUUUUUGAGCUUAUCAUGAAAUAUAUCGUGGGGUGUGAGCGAUCAAGAUGAAAUUUUUCCCUCCUUGAUAAUGAGAGAGAUAUCUCUGGACCCCUCGAGGUAGUUGGAUCGAGAAAGUGUAUGGCCAUACCAAUAUGAUUAAAGAGUUAGUCAUGAUAAAUCCACUACUUGAUCGAGUGAUGAUCGAUCUAUCAAAAGGGUGAUACGUAUCUUUUCUUGAGCUUGGCUGGUAUCGUGAGGCGAAAGGAUCGGUGCAUAUGUAUAUCAAGGUUUAGCCAAUAUGAUUUUUUGUGUAUAUUCAGGAGUCAACAUGUCUUGCUAGGGACCACUAUUGAUUUCGGUUUAGAAAAGGUUUCUGAGUCAUAGCCAUUUGUAUAUGAACCUAACGGGUCACAUACUUAAUGGGUUGGAACAAAACAUGUGAAUUGGAUUCGUAUAUGGCUUUUUGAUUGGAUUGUGAUCCAUGAAAAGUUAGAGUCCUAAAGGGCUUCCAACGUGUGAGCCUAUUGGCGAGCUCUAUAUAAGGAGAGGCGUGUGUAGGGCAUGCUAAGGGAGAGCCACUCCGAAACCCUAGCCGCAGCUUUCUACACGAUCUCUCAAAAUCCUAGCUGCGCGUGCGGUGCUAGCACAUCGGUGCUGCUACUAUUGCGGCGCUGAUCUUCUCGACGAGUUGAUCGCGACGUGUUCGAGGACUGGUCGUCUGUCGUGACAAACUGGUCAACGUACCUGCUCAUCUGGUCGUGGAGCACAACAUGAUCACUCGGAUCUAGUCGGAUAGCAUCACACAACCACUCAAAAUUGGUCGAGGACGCGACAGACCUGAUCGGGAAUUGGUCGAGGAGCACGAUAACCUGCUCAAAGUUGGUCGGGGAGCGUGACCACCUUCGGGGGGUUGGUCGCGAAUCUGACUGAAAAGCUGCUCGUGGAGUUUGACGCGCACGACGUUAGAUUGGUCUACUUCAACUCUUCUUCCACUGCACUGCGUGUCGAGCGGUAAUGAUCUAUGAUCUCCUACUAGCAUCGUUUCCUGGGUGAAUGCGGUAGAAAUUUUUUAUUUUAGGCUAGCGUAGGCUGCUCGUUAUCCAACAAAGAGUAGGGGUGCAAGACACUGUCUAGCACACGUGAUUGAUGUUUAGCAUCAAUGACUGGAUCAAUCAGUUGAAGGAUUGCCAUGCCUUCAAUCAAAGUUUAACAGAGUAAAAAAAUGAGAUAUGCCGAAAUGCAACAAUACAAAUUGAAAAUCAUUCAUAGUUCAACACAUAGUAUUACAGUCCGAUAGAUAAGAGCAUACAUAGUCCAAUAAAUAAUAUUACACAUAAAAGCAUACAUAGUCCAAUAAAUAAUAUUACAAUAUGACACAUAAAAGCAUACCUAGUCCAACAAAUAAUAUUACAAUCAGACACAUAGAUAGUCCAACACAUAUUAUUACAAUCUACACAUAAUAUUACAACAUAAUCAUUAUUCCAAAGGUACAAAUCAAGCGCUCAGGCCAGCUUGCCUAUUCUUCAUAGACUUACGCAUCGGAACAUGACACACAGUCUCCACCAUGCUGUGAUGUGUAAAGCUCACAAUCCUUCCUCGAAUGCUCCCCGCACAUCAAACAUUCCUUUUGGCGACCUCUGGCUAGCCUCCGAUUCAUCCAUGGAAUUUCUUAUUUGACGAGUCUUACUCCAUCCCUUGGUAUCGACCUUGGUGUCUGGGUCAGGAAUCCAGGGUAUUGUAUGCUCUAGAAGCUUAAUGAAGUUAGUGACUCCCUACCAUCCACACAGUUCACCAUGCCCUUCAUAUAGUAAGGAGAAACAAAGUGGAUGAGCUUGAUCUUCCCUUUUGCGCAAGCUGCAAACACAUGUGAGCACGGCAAGUGUAGGAGGGAAGGUUUGUUGCAAGUUCACUCACACCAUCUAACUGCUAGCCAUAACACACAUUUCAUUGUGAUUUCGAACUGGCCAACUCCAAACCCACUCUUGUCACGCAAAAGCACCUCAAAUAUGAAUAUUCUCUGUGACCCAUGAACCAUACUCAAUGCAUCUGACCGUUCAUGCUCUUGUCAUACAUGUAUUUGGUGAUCUUUUCCAUGAACACCAUCUACAAGUUUGCUAAGUGUAGUGAUGCAAUGGUGUACCUCUGCCUGAGAUACUUAUGUGUCCUGCGGGUUAUACCCUCCACAAUUGCUACUAAUGGAAGAGAACGAGUUUCAUUCAUCACCCAAUUGUAGACUUCUUCAAGAUUUGUGGUCAUAAUACCAUAACACAAGCCAUCAAUGUCAAAAAUGAGGGCCCAUUUCUCCUUAGGCUCAUGCUUCAUCCAAUCUGAGAAACACUUCACCCUCCUUCCAUCCUUCGUCCUCCUCUUCAUGGUGCUUGGUUCGUGAGGAAUGGGAUCAAGCCCAUGCGGCUUAUCCUCCCUCAGCAAAAUAGGUUUCUUCAGUACUUCUUUCAUGUGGCUACUAGCUAGGUGUUCAAGCUCCUCUCAUAGGACAUUAAACUUCCUCAUAUGGUUCUAUUUGCACAACUCCUUGAACAGUUCCAUCAGGCGAUUACUUUUGAACUGCUUAUAAAAGUUUUGCCCUCAAGUGCCUCAUGCACUAGUGACUAUGCAAGUAUAGCCAGAAGAACGUCUUAGUCGUGCUAGUCUGCAACAUAUUAAUCGCUGAAAGCAAGCCUGUAAGCCAAUCAUAGAGGAUGCAAACAUUAGGCCUGUCACCGAUAACCAGUCUCUUAAUCUUCCUCAAGAACCAAAGCCAACUUUGCGUGUUCUCAGAUUCAACAAAGGCAAAUACCACAUGUACUACUUGGUUCUCUCCAUCCACCUCGACAGCAGUAAGAAUCCGGCAUUUGUAUUUUCCUAUCAAGAAAGUUCCAUCGACACAUAGCACUAGCCUGUAGUUCACGAAUGCUUCGAUCAUACAACCAAAAGAUCAAAAAGCCCAUUGAAGCGCGGGCGGGUGAGAAGAUCUCUAACGGGUGGGCAGCGAUGCCUUGCGGCACAAGCUCUACCUAUCGCCACAUGGUUUGGCAACAUGUAUCCUAUCGUAGCUGACACCAGAGUAAAUGUCGUGGCGCACAACCUGUUGCAAGACGGAAUGAUUACAGGUACCUAAUCGACAACUCGUCUAGCCACAGGGUGCUAUUUUGACAAUUCUCCUUAAACAAAUAUUCAUUUUGCAAUUUUCUUUUAAAAUAAUAUUAUUUUAAAAAAAAUCUUCGAAGUACUAUGAUCGGUUGUACUCUCAGGUUGUAACACACUGAGGUGUGGCACAUGGGGGUAUAGUUCUAAAACACUGAGGUCGUACUUCUCAAAUAUCCAUCUACCUGCUGAGUGUGGUACAGGUGUGUACCUGAGAGUACACGUUGAUCCUGGAGGAGCAACGCGUGGGGUAAUUAGGCCCACUUACCAAUCUUCGUAUUAAUAUACGUGCUGGCCAUCAGGUAGAAUAUCAUAUCUCGGAAUGUCAGCAUCCCAAUAGAAAAAUAUGCAAGACACAAGAUAUGAGCCCGUAGUGAGUUUUAAACUGCCGUCCAAAAAAUUACAUAAGCAAAUGUAGAGUGCCAUGGUACGGCACAAUCCACUAGAAUAUUUGGAUUACAUCAAGUGUAAUAACGUGUAUCAAUAGUUGGCUAAAGAACUUUUUUUUAGACGGUCAGAAAAAAAUGCACCAACCAUGUCAAUUUGUAAUUCCAAGUAGUAGUCGUUGUAGUAGCAUGCAAGGUGCAGCAUACAAACACCUUUGUCCUCACUGCAAAGGUAGAUUACACAUUGGUUAGGUAUUUUUUGUUGGCGCUUGAACAAAGUAAGUGGAUUAAUACAGUUGACUUACAGCUGAAAAUGAUCCUCAAGUAGUUUUGGGAAUACCAAUUCUUAUCCAUGUGAAAGGAAAUAAUCUCUUCAGUUCUUACAAAGGACAACCUUUUUUUGGUGGAUUACAAGAAGGUUUCCUCACAAAAAAUCUUCACAUAUUAUAAAUGUUAAGCUCUCUUUUUCUCUCCUCCAAAACUUAUCUCUCAAGGCUCAAAUGGUUGUCUCACUCUUCUCCUACAACUCUACCCUUCUAUUUAUAGAUCUAGAGAUGUUGCUUAGCUCUUAAACUUUUUUGUUUCUAAAAUACAUCUAUUGGUGUAAAGAAUAAUAGAGUCUCCUAAUAGGACAUCCACGACGGUCAAAUAUUAACUUUUUCUAUACAUCAUGAUUGGGCAGGACCAUGGUCCCCUGGCGCAUUCAGCCAGCAAACACAUGAUCAGUUUCUCCGACCAGUCUUCAGGUCUCACAGGGAAACCCUGCUAUCAGUUUUCUCUCGUUACGGGGCAAAUAUGUGCCUAAUCAGUCUAAUUUAAUUACAUACUUUUCUACUCAAGUGUUAUCUCUUACUCAGGUUGUCCUUUAGGGCAGAUCUAGGCGUGACCGGUAUAGCCUUGUCGUGUCCCGUUCCGUAGAAUUAAACACUACAGCACGGCGUGACAAAGUGUGGCACUAGGUUUUGCAGGAGCACAGACAGAUGGGACCUGACAGACUAGGCGAUAAGGAUGGCACGAGCGUGUGUGUUGUGCAGGGAUGGGGUGAGAUGUGAGGAGCGACCUCUAGUACCAGAUCUUUUUAAAGAAUAUUCUUUUAAUAUGUUGGGUGAAACUAUUACUCUAAAAUAGUGGGUCGAAGCCAUAUACUUUUACUAAUCAUACUCAUUAGUAAAAUAAUCAAUGAUAUUAAUAUGUUAUAUUACUAAUUAAUAUAUAUUACUACGAGAUUAAAGUUUUUAAGUGUUAAUGUGCUAAUUAGUGGUAAUUAAUGAGUUAAUUAAAGUAUGAUUAGUGUUCAUUGGCAUAUUUUAUUGUUAACCAGUAAUGACUAUAGCCAGAGUAAUAUUAAUAUGCGUUAAUGCAUAUUAAUUAGUGUAUUAUUAAUGAUUAUUAUUUAAAAUUAAAAAAUAUAAUUAAUUAAUAAUUCUCGUCUUACCUAUUAUCCCUCCAACUGGAUAAAAAAAGAUUCAUCCCAUCUAUCUAAUUAAAAAAUUAUUCUAUAAAUAAUGAUAUCUCAUCCAUCUUGGUAUCCCAGGGUAAAAAAAAGCAAUCCAGGCAUUACUUCCCGUCAGCCGAACGCCCACCGGCGAACCUUUUUCCUGAGUUGUCCAAUCCAAGAGGGAAUCCCUCGUACCUCAGUGUCAGGGCAUCGUACGGUUCAUACUUGUUGGUUCUUGGUAUGAUCUCUAAUAAAUAUAUUUGAUUAUUAUUUUUUAACUAUUUUUUUUUAUAAAAAUUGAUAAAAAAUUAGAUGAUAUUAAAGUAUUUUUAUCACAAAUUUAU